rnacentral:rRNA from 1 species
GACGAACGCUGGCGGCGUGCUUAACACAUGCAAGUCGAACGGUAAGGCCCUGUUUUUGUGCGGUGCUCGAGUGGCGAACGGGUGAGUAUCACGUGAGUAACCUGCCCUUUACUGUGGGAUAACUUCAGGAAACUGGGGCUAAUAUCGGAUAUGAGCUCCUUCUGCAUGGUGGUGGUUGGAAAGUUACGGCGGUUGGGGAUGGACUCGCGGCGUAUCAUCUUGUUGGCGGGGUAGUGGAGUACCAAGGCCUUGACGGGUUGCCGGCCUGAGAGGGUGACCGGCCACAUUGGGACUGAGAAACGACCCAGACUGCUACGGGAGGCAGCAGUGGAGAAUAUUGCACAAUGGGCGGAAGCCUGAUGCAGCAACGCCGCGUGCGGGAUGACGGCCUUCGGGUUGUAAACCGCUUUCGCCUGUGACGAAGCGUGAGUGACGGUAAUGGGUAAAGAAGCACCGGCUAACUACGUG